UUCACACUUUCUCACUUUAAUAUCCUAUGGUUUAAAAUAUAUCAAGUUAGCCCCUAUAGUUUUGCACUUUCUCACUUUGGUACCCUAUAGUUUAAAGUGUAUCAAAUUAGUAUCUUAUGGUUUAUUUUUUUCUUUAUUAUCCAUUUCAUUAUUUUUUUCGUUAAAUCAGUGACAAAGUUGAAAUUAAAGAGUACUAAAAUGAAUAUUUGAUAAACCUGGGUAGGAUAUCUAAAGUUUUUUUGUAUAUAAUUUAACGAAAUAUUAACAGAGCAAAAAAAAUCAGUGACAAAAUUAAAACUAAAGGGUACUAAAAUAAAUAUUUGAUAAACUUAGAUAGGGUAUCUGAAGUUUUUUGUAUAUAAUUUAACGAAAUAUUAACAGAGAAGCCGACAAAAAAAAAAACCACAGGUACUAAAUUGAUAUACUUUAAAUCAUAAGAUACUAAAAUAAAAAAAUACGAAACUAUAGGGGUGGUAUUUGAAGUUUUUUCGAUUAAAAAAAUCACAAAAGAUAAGCCAAGAAU
rnacentral:lncRNA from 1 species